GCGCAAGCUAUCGCUAAGAGAUGGACCCGCGGUGCAUUAGCUAGUUGGUACGGGUAAAGGCCUACCAAGGCGAUGAUGCAUAGCCGACCUGAGAGGGUGAUCGGCCACAUUGGGACUGAGACACGGCCCAAACUCCUACGGGAGGCAGCAGUAGGGAAUCUUCCGCAAUGGACGCAAGUCUGACGGAGCAACGCCGCGUGAGUGAAGAAGGUCUUCGGAUCGUAAAGCUCUGUUGUUAGAGAAGAACAGCGCAUAGAGUAACUGUUAUGCGUGUGACGGUAUCUAACCAGAAAGCCACGGCUAACUACGUG
rnacentral:rRNA from 1 species